rnacentral:rRNA from 1 species
UACGUAGGGUGCAAGCGUUAAUCGGAAUUACUGGGCGUAAGGCGUGCGCAGGCGGUUUUGUAAGCCAGAUGUGAAAUCCCCGGGCUUAACCUGGGAAUGGCAUUUGGGACUGCAAGGCUUGAGUGCGGCAGAGGAGACUGGAAUUCCUGGUGUAGCAGUGAAAUGCGUAGAUAUCAGGAGGAAUACCGGUGGCGAAGGCAGGUCUCUGGGCUGACACUGACGCUCAUGCACGAAAGCGUGGGGAGCAAACAGG